rnacentral:rRNA from 1 species
AAACUGAAGAGUUUGAUCCUGGCUCAGAUUGAACGCUAGCGGGAUGCUUUACACAUGCAAGUCGAACGGCAGCACGAGAGAGCUUGCUCUCUUGGUGGCGAGUGGCGGACGGGUGAGUAAUAUAUCGGAACGUGCCCAGUAGCGGGGGAUAACUACUCGAAAGAGUGGCUAAUACCGCAUACGCCCUACGGGGGAAAGGGGGGGAUCGCAAGACCUCUCACUAUUGGAGCGGCCGAUAUCGGAUUAGCUAGUUGGUGGGGUAAAGGCUCACCAAGGCAACGAUCCGUAGCUGGUUUGAGAGGACGACCAGCCACACUGGGACUGAGACACGGCCCAGACUCCUACGGGAGGCAGCAGUGGGGAAUUUUGGACAAUGGGGGAAACCCUGAUCCAGCCAUCCCGCGUGUAUGAUGAAGGCCUUCGGGUUGUAAAGUACUUUUGGCAGAGAAGAAAAGGCAUCCCCUAAUACGGGAUGCUGCUGACGGUAUCUGCAGAAUAAGCACCGGCUAACUACGUGCCAGCAGCCGCGGUAAUACGUAGUGUGCAAGCGUUAAUCGGAAUUACUGGGCGUAAAGCGUGUGUAGGCGGUUCGGAAAGAAAGAUGUGAAAUCCCAGGGCUCAACCUUGGAACUGCAUUUUUAACUGCCGAGCUAGAGUAUGUCAGAGGGGGGUAGAAUUCCACGUGUAGCAGUGAAAUGCGUAGAUAUGUGGAGGAAUACCGAUGGCGAAGGCAGCCCCCUGGGAUAAUACUGACGCUCAGACACGAAAGCGUGGGGAGCAAACAGGAUUAGAUACCCUGGUAGUCCACGCCCUAAACGAUGUCAACUAGCUGUUGGGGCCGUUAGGCCUUAGUAGCGCAGCUAACGCGUGAAGUUGACCGCCUGGGGAGUACGGUCGCAAGAUUAAAACUCAAAGGAAUUGACGGGGACCCGCACAAGCGGUGGAUGAUGUGGAUUAAUUCGAUGCAACGCGAAAAACCUUACCUACCCUUGACAUGUCUGGAAUGCCGAAGAGAUUUGGCAGUGCUCGCAAGAGAACCGGAACACAGGUGCUGCAUGGCUGUCGUCAGCUCGUGUCGUGAGAUGUUGGGUUAAGUCCCGCAACGAGCGCAACCCUUGUCAUUAGUUGCUACGCAAGAGCACUCUAAUGAGACUGCCGGUGACAAACCGGAGGAAGGUGGGGAUGACGUCAAGUCCUCAUGGCCCUUAUGGGUAGGGCUUCACACGUCAUACAAUGGUCGGGACAGAGGGUCGCCAACCCGCGAGGGGGAGCCAAUCUCAGAAACCCGAUCGUAGUCCGGAUCGCAGUCUGCAACUCGACUGCGUGAAGUCGGAAUCGCUAGUAAUCGCGGAUCAGAAUGUCGCGGUGAAUACGUUCCCGGGUCUUGUACACACCGCCCGUCACACCAUGGGAGUGGGUUUCACCAGAAGUAGGUAGCCUAACCGCAAGGAGGGCGCUUACCACGGUGGGAUUCAUGACUGGGGUGAAGUCGUAACAAGGUAGCCGUAUCGGAAGGUGCGGCUGGAUCACCUCCUUU